UACGUAGGGGCCUAGCGUUGUCCGGAUUUAUUGGGCGUAAAGGGCUCGUAGGCGGCCAACUAAGUCAGACGUGAAAUCCCCAGGCUCAACCUGGGAACUGCGUCUGAUACUGGAUGGCUUGAAUCCGGGAGAGGGAUGCAGAAUUCCAGGUGUAGCGGUGAAAUGCGUAGAUAUCUGGAGGAACACCGGUGGCGAAGGCGGCAUCCUGGACCAAUUCUGACGCUGAUGAGCGAAAGCCAGGGGAGCGAACGGG
rnacentral:rRNA from 1 species